rnacentral:rRNA from 1 species
AAACUAAUUUGAUUUGGCGGCACUUCACCUAUUUAGAGGAAUUUGUCCUUUAAUCGACAAUCCACGUUAAAUUUCACUUUAUAAAAAAAUUUAUAUAUCGCCAUCUUAAGAAUUAAUUCAAAAAUAUUUUCUAAAAAACAAAUAAAAAGUUAGGUCAAGGUGUAAUUUACAUUAAAGAAUGAGAUGAAUUACAUUAAAUAUCAUUUAAAGAUUAUACAUUAACAUAUUUAUACAAAUAAGAAUUUAAAAGCAAUAUUAAAAUAAUAUUAUAAUAUGAUAUAGAUAAUAAAUGUGCACACAUCGCCC